rnacentral:lncRNA from 1 species
UAGGAUCCGGUGAUGUGCAUCUGCAUGAGUGAUGGUAUGUGCUUAUGAGUGUGAAAAAAAAGAAAAAAAGUGGAAACUAAACAAAACAUUGCCAUUUUUUUUGAAAAACUGCAAAAAUAGAAAGACAGGGAACGAAAUAUUUGAAUGCAAAAAGACGUCCUUUAUUUAUGAUAAAAAAUGCAAGUGUCACAUAGAUGAGCCCUACAAUGAGUCAUUACGCCCUGGCGGAACGUAAGACUUGGAUAUGCAUGAAUAAACAAAGAAAAUUACUCCUCCAGA